rnacentral:rRNA from 1 species
UGAAUCUCCUGGCUGUAAUGGUCAGGCGAGGUGUAGCGUAUAGUGCGUUUCGUGCCAUUGAGUGGCUAAGCUUAAGUUCUCCUUGAUCGGAGUUCCUUAGAGGGUGCUAGGCCCGUUAAGCUUGGAUCUGCAUUUGAUGGUUGGAGCGUACUGUGAGUCGGGUUGUUUGGAAACACAGCCCUAAGCAGGUGGUAAACUCCACCUAAAGCUAAAUAAGACUACGAAUCCGAUAGCAAACAAGUACCGUGAGGGAAAGUUGAAAAGAACUCUGAAGAGAGAGUUAAAUAGUACGUGAAACUGGUUAGGUGGAAUCGGAUAGAGCAAUCGAAAGAUGGUUACAAUGAGUCGAUCGGGUGUUGGCUUCGGCUCAGCGCUCGGUUGAUGCACUUGUGACUCGUUGUGCCGGCACGGCUGAUGGUGCCGUUGGAAGUGGGUCUAGAGGAGCUGCUCUUCGGAGGGGCAAACCUGGGCUCAUGGAAAACGCGUUGCUGUUAGUCGGAGUUGCGUUCGCACGGUACCGCGAAGAGUUCGCUAUGAACGUUGUUGUCGGGUUGGUGUCUUCGCGUGCGAGGGCCCUUUUCGAUGGCGCCGCUCAUGGUGUUACGAUCCGUGGUGCUUGCCGGUGUACAAACUGAUUGUCACCUAUCCGUCCCGUCUUGAAACACGGACCAAGGAGUUUAUCGCAUAUGCGAGUUAUUGGGUGAUGAAAACCUAAUGGCGUAAUGAAAGUAAAGGUUUCGCUUGCGGAGCUGAUAUGUGAUCCGGGUGCCUUUCGAGGCUUCGGCGCAGCAUAGCCCCAUCUCUAAUGCUUGCAUUGGGGUGGAGGAAGAGCAUAUACGAUGAGACCCGAAAGAUGGUGAACUUAUGCCUGGGCAGGAUGAAGCCGGAGGAAACUCUGGUGGAAGUCCGUAGCGGUUCUGACGUGCAAAUCGAUCGUCUGACCUGGGUAUAGGGGCGAAAGACUAAUCGAACCAUCUAGUAGCUGGUUCCCUCUGAAGUUUCCCUCAGGAUAGCUUUGACCAGGAAAACUCAGUUAUACUCGGUAAAGCGAACGAUUAGAGGUCUUGGGGGCGAAAUGCUCUCAACCUAUUCUCAAACUCUUAAUGGGUAUGAUGUGUGGCUUGCUUAAUGUGAAGUCGCACGUUGAAUGAGUUGGUCAAAAGUGGGCCAUUUUUGGUAAGCAGAACUGGCGAUGCGGGAUGAACCGUAUGCGUGGUUAAAGUGCCUAAAUACUUGCUCAUGAGACCCCAUAAAAGGUGUUAGUUGAUAUUGACAGCAGGACGGUGGCCAUGGAAGUCGGAAUCCGCUAAGGAGUGUGUAACAACUCACCUGCCGAAUCAACUAGCCCUGAAAAUGGAUGGCGCUCUAGCGAGUUACUUAUACCACGCCGUUGGCUGUUGCUUACAACAGCAGUCAACGUGUAAGAGGGUCGCAGUGGUUGCGUUGAAGGUUUUCUGAGUGAUCAGAGCUGGAGCAGCCACUGGUGCAGAUCUUGGUGAUAGUAGCAAAUAAUCAAGUGAGAUCCUUGAUGACUGAAGUGAAAAAGGUUUCCACGUGAACAGUAUUUGGACGUGGGUCAGACGGUCCUAAGGAAUCGGCGAAUGCCGUGCCCAAUAGUGUGUGUUUUCGAUGGCUGCUUCGGUGGUCCUCUCGAAUCACAUGGUAUCCGAAAGGGAAACAGGUUAAUAUUCCUGUUCUUUGAGCUUGCGUUGGCGCGUCCUCCUUUACGGGAGGUCGUCGUCUGGGGCGGUAACGCGUAUGAACUUGUAUACGUCAUGUAUAGUUCGGGCUAGAGAUCUCUCCUCUAGUUUAGCUGUUUUGACCAUGGAAUGAGCUCAGCUCGAGAUAUGGUUGUAGGCAGCGUAGAGUGGCGCGGUUUCUGUGCCAUCCCGAGUGCUAUGCAUGACCCUUGAAAAUACAAGGGAUCCCUGAUUAUGCAAGCCAAAGCCGUACCGAAACCGCAUCAGGUUUUCAAGGUGAAUAGCCUCUCGUCGAUAGAAUAAUGUAGGUAAGGGAAGUCGGCAAAUUAGAUCCGUAACUUCGGGAAAAGGAUUGGCUCUAAGAACCGGGCUAUCCGGGCUUUGUUGCGAGGCUAGUGUGCUCUCGGUCAUGACUGCAGGAUGCUUCGGCUGAAUGCGGGCUAGUGCUGUGGGGCUGCUGGUUGAGCGGCUUUGCUUUCGGUGCAUCGUUUGAAGCGUGUCCUUCGGGGUGCGUGGAGGGCGGUGUGCCUCGGGUAGCGCUUAACGGUUGGCUUAGAACUGACACGGACUCAGGGAAUCCGACUGUCUAAUUAAAACAGAGCAGAUAGAAGGCGUUUAUGUGCGUUGACUAUCUGUGAUUUCUGCCCAGUGCUCUGAAUGUUAAGCUAAGGAAACUUGAUUAAGCGCGGGUAAACGGCGGGAGUAACUAUGACUCUCUUAAGGUAGCCAAAUGCCUCGUCAUCUAAUUAGUGACGUGCACGAAUGGAUUAACGAGAUUCCCACUGUCCCUAUCUACUAUCUAGCGAAAUCACAGCCAAGGGAACGGGCUUGGCAAGUUAUGCGGGGAAAGAAGACCCGAUUGAGCUUGACUCUAGUCUGACUUUGUGAAGAGUCAUAGAAGGUGUAGUAUAGGUGGGAGACUUCGGUCGUCAGUGAAAUACCACCACUUCUAUCGAUUCCUUACUUAUUCGGUUAUAUGGGGAUUGCUGCUUCUGUAGCUUUCUCUUGGAAUUAAGUCGUGGCGCUUGCGCCGCGACGACCCACGUCGAUGACAUAGUCAGGCGGGGAGUUUGACUGGGGCGGUACAUCUGUCAAAUCGUAACGCAGGUGUCCUAAGCCGUACUCAGACAGGACAGAAACCUGUCGUAGACUAAAAGGAGAAAAGUACGAUUGAUCUAGAUUCUCAGUACGAAUACAGACCGUUAAAGCGUGGCCUAUCGAUCCUUUUGGAUUAUGGAGUUUAUAAUAAGAGGUGUCAGAAAAGUUACCAUCGGGAUAACUGGCUUGUGGCAGCCAAGCGUCCAUAGCGACGUUGCUUUUUGAUCCUUCGAUGUCGGCUCUUCCUAUCAUUACGAAGCAGAAUUCGUAAAGCGUUGGAUUGUUCACCCACUAAUAGGGAACGUGAGCUGGGUUUAGACCGUCGCGAGACAGGUUAGUUUUACCCUACAUGACCAUUUGAGACAUUGCGAUAGUAGUCUAGCUUAGUACGAGAGGAACCGCUAGUCCAGACAUUUGGUAUAUACAGCUGCUCGAUAGGGCAAUGCUGUGAGGCUACCAUCUGACGGAAUAUGACUGAAAGCCUCUAAGUCAGAAGCCUACCUAGUUAGUUUACAAUGUUAUUUUGGCAUCCCGGUGUCGGGAGGCCCGAAUACAGCGUGCUUCAUGUACGUUGUCAUUGCCCCAUUAACUGUCCUGAUCGAUUGGGAGAAGUCCCUUUCGAUUGACAAAGCCUUAUUAAGGAGAAGUGUCGGGGUGCGAGAUUCCUUGCAUACUACUUGAUUACUGGUCACGGUGCUGUCCGCAGUAGAGUCGCUUUCAUGCG